AUGGGGACGGCAGACUCUCUCUCUCUCUCUCUCUCUCUCUCUCUCUCUCUCUCUGAGAAACAGUUUGGGACGAUUUAUUGUGCCGUGAAAAGGAAUAGGAUGUGGCUGCUCUCUCACAACAGCAGCUUCUUCCCUUCCCACAGACAAUGGUCCUUUCCACUGACGCAAUGGCCCAUGAUCCCCAGCAAUGACAAACACGAAGAGAGUCAUGUGAAAUAAAAUGACACAGGAGGGGGGAAGAAACUAAUGUAUUGUAAACUUCUAAUCAAACAUCCCCAAGCUCUAUGAGACCAAUGGAGAGACAGAAAUGGAGGCAGGGGAAGAAAUACACUAUAUAUACAAAAGGAUGUGGACACCCCUUCAAAUGACUGGAUUCAGGUAUUUCAAUCAAGCACACAGCCAUGCAAUCUCCAUAGACACACAUUGGCAGUAGAGUGGCCUUACUGAAGAGCUCAGUGACUUUCAAUGUGGCACCGUCAUAGUAUGCCACCCUUCCUACAAGUCAGUUUGUCAAUUUUUCUGCCUUGCUGGAGCUGCCCCGGUCAACUGUAAGUGCUGUUAUUGUGAAGUGGAAACAUCUAGGAGCAACAAUGGCUCAGCCGCAAAGUGGUAAGCCACACAAGCUCACAGAACGGGAGUGCCUAGUGCUGAAGGGCGUAGCACAUAAAAAUCGUCUUGUCCUCGGUUGCAACACUCACUACCAAGUUUCAAACUGCCUCUAGAAGCAACAUCAGCACAACUGUUCAUCGAGAGCUUCAUAAAAUGGGUUUGCAUGGCCAAGCAGCCACACACAAGCCUAAGAUCACCAUAAGCACGCCGCCAAUGGACUCUGGAGCGUUCUCACGCUUCACCAUCUGGCAGUCUGAUGGACGAAUCUGGAUUUGGCAUAUGCCAGGACAACGCUAACUGCCCGAAUACAUAGUGCCAACUGUAAAGUUUGGUGGAGGAGGAACAAUGGUCUGGGGCUGUAAAUGUCUCUAUUUCCUCCAAGGUAGCCCUGAGGU
rnacentral:lncRNA from 8 species